rnacentral:rRNA from 1 species
GACGAACGCUGGCGGCGUGCUUAACACAUGCAAGUCGAACGGAAAGGCCCUGCUUUUGUGGGGUGCUCGAGUGGCGAACGGGUGAGUAACACGUGAGUAACCUGCCCUUGACUUUGGGAUAACUUCAGGAAACUGGGGCUAAUACCGGAUAGGAGCUCCUGCUGCAUGUUGGGGGUUGGAAAGUUUCGGCGGUUGGGGAUGGACUCGCGGCUUAUCAGCUUGUUGGUGGGGUAGUGGCUUACCAAGGCUUUGACGGGUAGCCGGCCUGUGAGGGUGACCGGCCACAUUGGGACUGAGAUACGGCCCAGACGCCUACGGGAGGCAGCAGUGGGGAAUAUUGCACAAUGGGCGGAAGCCUGAUGCAGCAACGCCGCGUGCGGGAUGACGGCCUUCGGGUUGUAAACCGCUUUCGCCUGUGACGAAGCGUGAGUGACGGUAAUGUGUAAAGAAGCACCGGCUAACUACGUG